rnacentral:rRNA from 1 species
UGCAGUCGAACGGUGAAGGAGGAGCUUGCUCCUUUGGAUCAGUGGCGAACGGGUGAGUAACACGUGAGUAACCUGCCCCAGACUCUGGGAUAAGCACUGGAAACGGUGUCUAAUACCGGAUACGAGCUUCAGCCGCAUGGCUAGGAGCUGGAAAGAAUUUCGGUCUGGGAUGGACUCGCGGCCUAUCAGCUAGUUGGUGAGGUAAUGGCUCACCAAGGCGACGACGGGUAGCCGGCCUGAGAGGGUGACCGGCCACACUGGGACUGAGACACGGCCCAGACUCCUACGGGAGGCAGCAGUGGGGAAUAUUGCACAAUGGGCGCAAGCCUGAUGCAGCAACGCCGCGUGAGGGACGACGGCCUUCGGGUUGUAAACCUCUUUUAGUAGGGAAGAAGCGAAAGUGACGGUACCUGCAGAAAAAGCACCGGCUAACUACGUGCCAGCAGCCGCGGUAAUACGUAGGGUGCAAGCGUUAUCCGGAAUUAUUGGGCGUAAAGAGCUCGUAGGCGGUUUGUCGCGUCUGCUGUGAAAACUGGAGGCUCAACCUCCAGCCUGCAGUGGGUACGGGCAGACUAGAGUGCGGUAGGGGAGAUUGGAAUUCCUGGUGUAGCGGUGGAAUGCGCAGAUAUCAGGAGGAACACCGAUGGCGAAGGCAGAUCUCUGGGCCGUAACUGACGCUGAGGAGCGAAAGCAUGGGGAGCGAACAGGAUUAGAUACCCUGGUAGUCCAUGCCGUAAACGUUGGGAACUAGAUGUAGGGACCAUUCCACGGUUUCUGUGUCGCAGCUAACGCAUUAAGUUCCCCGCCUGGGGAGUACGGCCGCAAGGCUAAAACUCAAAGGAAUUGACGGGGGCCCGCACAAGCGGCGGAGCAUGCGGAUUAAUUCGAUGCAACGCGAAGAACCUUACCAAGGCUUGACAUAUACCGGAAAAGUUCAGAAAUGUUCUCCCCGCAAGGUCGGUAUACAGGUGGUGCAUGGUUGUCGUCAGCUCGUGUCGUGAGAUGUUGGGUUAAGUCCCGCAACGAGCGCAAC